rnacentral:lncRNA from 10 species
CGGGGUUUCACCGUUUUAGCCGGGAUGGUCUCGAUCUCCUGACCUCGUGAUCCGCCCGCCUCGUCCUCCCAAAGUGCUGGGAUUAUAGGCCAAUUAACUUAUUAUUGACUAUAGUCACUCUGUUGGGCUAUCAAAUACUAGGUCUUAUUCAUUCAUUCCAUUUUUUGUACUCAUUAACUACCCCUACCUCCCAACAACCCCAGUCCUCCCACUAUAUUCCCCAGCCUCUGGUAACCUUCCUUCUGCUCUCUAUCUCCAUGAGUUCAAUUGUUUUGAUUUUUAGAUCUCACAGAUAAGUGGGAACAUGUGAUGCUUACCUUGCUGAGGCUUAUUUCACUUAGCAUAAUGAACUCCAGUUCCGUUUAACAAUGGUUUUUUUUUUAACAUUCAACUCCCAACUUAUUCAUGUUUGACAUUUCCUUCUUUUCUCUCUUUGCUUGCAUUUUACUCUAAGCAGCAAUAUGAAAUCAGGCUGUAUUUUUAGUGCUUUACCCAGAAAUUCCCCAACAACACCCAGUUCAUUAGGCAUGUUUUCUGCGUUCCACAUACCAUAUGGAAGAAUAUUGCUAAACAUCUGCCAUUCAUAACAAGAAGUCCUUUCCUCCAGUUUCCAUGUUUUUCACAUUGCUUUAAGUCUCACUCACAACUGCCUAAAAAUCACAUAAUGCUUCUAAAAAUAUUUUCAAGGCUGUUCAAGCUUUAUAUAACUUUCUCAUCAAAAUCUUUCUAGUUGCAGACCACUGCCUGCUUCCAAACCACUUUCACGUGUGCAGAUAUUAUUAGGAUAGCACUCUGCUCCUAGUAUGAAGAGAUGUAUGAAUUACUUAUCACUGCAAAACAAAUCAUCCCAAUACCUAGCCACUUAUACCACAAACAUUUACCUCACACAGUUUCUGAAGGUCUAGCAUCCUAAAGCAACUUAGCCAGAUACCUCUGGUUCAAGGUCUUUUAUGAUGUUGCAGUCAAGGUGUCAGCAGGGGUUGAAUUUGUCUAAAGGACUGACUGGUGCUGGAGGAUCUGCUUCAAGAUGGCUCACUCUCUAGCUGCUGUUGGAAGAAGGCUUCAGUUCCUUGCCACAAAGGCCUGUCCUCAGGGAAUGUCCUCAUGGUAUGGCAUCUUGCUUUCCAUGGCUUCUGGCAAGGGCUUUCAUGUUGCAUCCUAAUAUGACAGAGAAGGACAAAGAGGAAAUGCACAUGUUUGAAGAAAC